UUCUUCCCUUACACCUUCUCUCUGCAACUUCUUCGUCUCCUUCUCUCUCUCUACAUUCAUCAAUUCUCUUCUCUCUAUCUUCAUUCACGUUUACCCCCCACCAAAACUUCACCCAACACACAUAACCACACGCACUCGCCGUAUCACGCACUCAAUUUGAUUCCACAUCGUCGGAAUUCACCAAACGAUGUGACGUCGCCGCCGAUUUCCAAACACGAUUUGCAUCUGCUGAUAACAAUUCAAUACUUUUUUCGUUGAAAUCGGCGCUCAAAUUCGAUUGUUGCUUGCUGCUAUGGCCUCCACUGCUCCUGCCAAAUCUCAGCCGCUGCACAAUUUUACGCUGCCGCAUCUAAAAUGGAACAAGCACAGAAACUCCAACGGCCAACACCAGCGCCGCCGCUCCGUCAAAUCGCCGUCGCGCCGGCCGAAUAUCUCCUCCCCAUCUCCCAUCCGCCAGUCGCCGCUGCGAGAUUCCGUGUCGGCGACUCCGCCUCGGCACCAGUCCCCUUUCCGAGACUCCGCCGCGGCGGCGGCUUCGUCUCCUCGUCGGUCUCCUGUCCACGGGGAUUACUUGGGGAAACGGUCUCCUUCUCCUGGAGAAUCAUCUAAGCCGAGGGGGAAACACUCGCCUACCGGCGCUGAUCCGGCGAGGCAUUUGCCGAGGCAUGAAUCGCCGCCACAGCCUGAAGCUUCCGGCAAGGGAAAAGGCGGCUGUGUUGAGCAUCGGAGACAUCACUCAAAUAAUUCAACAAAUUCAGAGCACUCCUCUCACAAAUCGGAGCUUAAAUCAAAGGCGAAAGAAGUCGAUGCGGCUGGAAUCAAGAGAUCGAAAAUCUUAAUCAAAAUUCCUUGCAAAACCAGCAAAACAGAGGACGAAAAUCCGCAAGAAGAGCCGCUGAAGGCGGAGAAAAACGACGAGCACGAUUGCAGCGGCGAAGCGCAAGAUGAGGAGAAGAUUAGUAACAACAUCACCGAUGAAGAAACGAAGACGUGGAAUUUAAGGCCUCGGAAGCCUCUACACAAGAGCGGAGGUCCGGUGAAGAGUAACGUUCCGGCGAUGCCGGAGAGGAGUAAAGCCCAGUCGCCGUUGAGGAGCCUGAACAAUAGAUCGGGGGAAAACGAGGGCGGUAAUGGUGGGAAGAAGGAGAAGAGGAAGCUUAGCGUCUUUAUCCCUCUAACGAAGGAUGAAAUUGAAGAGGAUAUUUUUGCGCUGACAGGAUCAAAGCCGGCGAGGAGGCCCAAGAAGAGAGCGAAGAACAUACAGAAACAAGUAGAUGUUUGUUUUCCUGGAUUGUGGCUGGUAUCGAUAACUGCAGAUUCAUACAAGGUCUCUGAGAGUUCUAUGAAGGUACAGCCUUGAUUGCACAUCUAUGCCGUUGUUUGUUGGAUGCUGAAAUCUGAAUCUGAUAUGGGUGUUCCACACAGGGCUAGAGGCAGUUUCUGGAAGUUUAAGCUGCUUUGCUUCCAACUUUUUUUUUUGGAUGGUAUUUGAAGUUUUUGACUCAUGAAUCUUGACAGUUUUACACUACAUCUCAAAUAUUUACAUACUUCUAUCAUUGAGAAUUUCUAGCCUGGUCGCAUUUGAUUUGAAGGACACUUUGUGAUGGCACUUGAUGAUGCUUCAAGUAGAAGCUGUGAUGAAGAAAGAGUGGUGAAGGUGGUAUGUGUCCAGGGUUGGUGAAGUAGACACAAAGUUGGAUCUUUGCCACUUGUUUUGUUCUAUCCUUUUGUGUGUAUGUAUGGCUUGAAUUUGAAUUUGGUGAGAUUGGAAAAAAGAGAGAGCUUCAUAUCUGUUGCUGGGGAGAAUGAGUUGAUGCUCUGCAUUUGGUGAGUGCAUUGGUUGGAUUAUGGUAAUAUAAAAGUGUGGAGAAUGUGUAAAUUGAAGAUGAAAGAAAGGCUAAUACUACUAUAAUAUUGUAUUCAAGGUAGGAAAUGGGUAAACUAUGGCAACUAAGUAUUGGUUGGCUUGACUUUUUUUUUCUAUUGAAUUGAAUUGAAUUGGUCUCA